rnacentral:rRNA from 1 species
UACCAGCACCCCGAGUGGUCGGGACGAUUAUUGGGCCUAAAGCAUCCGUAGCCGGUCAUGCAAGUCCUCCGUUAAAUCCCCCUGCCUAACAGAUGGGCUGCGGAGGAUACUACAAGGCUAGGAGGCGGAAGAGGCAAGCGGUACUCAGUGGGUAGGGGUAAAAUCCUCUGAUCCAUUGAAGACCACCAGUGGCGAAGGCGGCUUGCCAAUACGCGCUCGACGGUGAGGGAUGAAAGCUGGGGGAGCAAACCGG